UACAGAGCCUCUCCAGCAGGACUGGGGACACAGAGAAUAGGGUAGGGGUAUUUCUCAGUAUUUCUCACUGAGGGUCUAUGCCGACAGUAACCUGAUCCUGGGGCCCCUAGCAGGAUUGGAGAGCAAGUUAUGCCCUGACUUAGGUUGAGACUGAGUCUAGCCAGGGCACUGAGAAAGAGCUGAAGAGGUCUGAGAGUUGGUUCACAACUGUGAGGCUGGGCAUCAGGCCAGGCCUGAAGCAGUCUUUCAGCAUCCAAGGAAACAAACGGAUUUCCCCCCAGGAUCUGGAGGAGGAUUGCCUAGGGAGUACAUCUUGCAGAACCAACACUUUCAAGUCAGUGUCUCUUAAAGAACUUAACUCAAGCAGAGGGAACAGCAAAUGUGGCCUGCUAAGUUGUUAUUUCCACUUCUUGAAACUUUUAUUCCCUUGACUGAGCAAGUAUUGAACUCACAGAAGCUUAAGCUCGUAGGCGGUACAUCCUCACUCCAAAGGAGAAAACAAAAACAAAAACACCUGUGUGAUCAGCGGGAAAGAGGAAGAAAUCACAAAGCCUGCUUGGUUUGGACACAGUGCGAGGUUACCCUGCAAGGAAACCCAAGAAUUCACUCGCUGGAGAUGCUCAUCUGAGCCUGGUGAUGUAGUAAUAAAUUGGAG
rnacentral:lncRNA from 9 species